GUAAAAAGCUUGUGGGUUUUCAGAACAACCUUGUUUGCCAAAGCUAACUUUAGACUAGCUUCUUUAGCAUCAAAAGUAUAUUAUCUUCGAAUUGUAGCUUCUAGCCAGUCGUAAUCAUUUGCAAUCGCAUCUUGUUGGCAAUCAGUGAACGAACCCACUGCAUCGGAGGUUAACCUUAUCAGAAAGAUCUUCUUGUCACGGUUUGCCUCCACCUAGUGGUGGAUUUUUCUGUUUUGUUUUGUGUUGCAGGUAGGCGCGGCAGACGGCACACCUGUUGGGUGUUUGACUAAUUGAGGGAGAGAGGAUUUAAGGAGCGGUGCGACUCAACUCCAGUGCCGGUUGAUACUCUCACAUGGUAUCCUGUUCGUGCAUCACCUACCUUGCCUGGAGUUGUUCCCACGUCUCGCCGCUCAAAGAUCCUCUGGACUCCUCUCUCCACAUCUGCCCGCCUGCCUCACGCUCUGAACUCCUCAUCCGGUCCAACCUUCCUCAGUUCACCUCCGCUCUGGUUCCGAUUCCUGACCAUUCCGGUCUCCUCCUGAUCCUGAUCUGAAGCAGCGCCUUUAGUUUAGUUUUGCCUAUUCUGUUAUUAUUUUCUCAUUGUAAAUAAACCACCAUAUUUUUACUCACCGUCCCUCUGAUGUGAUUCUUCAUGUCCUGGGUGAAAGCUCUUACCCACAGCAUGACAGAAUCAACCGGCCAGAUAAACACCCCCAUUGAAGAAUCACUUCCCGCAGCCUUAGCAAACACAUUAACUCAGCA